AUCGAGAAAUAAUAUCAGCAGAGUGUAAAUUGUCCUUACACUGUAUUCGUAAACUUUGAGAAAUUAAUAUGAUUUAAUUAAUUCGUUCGAGCUGAGUCUGCGUGUUGUGCAUAUAAACAGGAGUGAGAGUUUUGUCUACGUUAGCUUCAUAUUUGGGUUCCAUGACGGCAUGUUAUCAUUUGUCACUGGACUAAGUAAGUAAUUAAAAUAACAAAGAAUACUGAACUCGAACCAUAGAACAUAAAUGCGCCGUGAGGGCCCAUAGAAGCAAACAAAAGAGGGCAAAGUUCAGCAAUUAAGGACGGGGACAGAGACACUGGACCACAGCUAACAGAUACCAUAUAUAACGAAAGCAAUGUCAAAAAUAUAUAGUUAUUCUCAUACAUCAACUGUAACUUAACUAAAUACAGAUAAAGCGAUAAUAAAAACAAAAAGAAUAUACCUAUAAUCGAUAAAUAUAAAAACAAGGUUUUUCUUUUAAAAAACUUGACAAUUACACUGGUAGAAUACAUGCUGAAAACUGUAAAUGCAUCCAUUACUAACAUUCCAAUGUAUGAAGUUGAUUCACUAUUUGUUAUAGUCUUUAUAAUCUGUAAUGCGUAAACAUUGCAUGCUAUCUUACCAGAAAACUGAUGUAAACAAAGCAGUAAUAUUACAUAUCCAAAUGCCUUGUAUAAUGCCUUUGAAUAACAGGCUUUUAUCAUUUGCAUUACUGCAUGUUUUCGAUUUUGGGUUUUGGACUGUACAAAAUUGUCAUGCAAUGCAAUAAGAGAUUCAAGUUCCCGUACUGAUUCAGUACUUCGGCCCUUUAGCCAAUUAUGUGAGUCCCUGCAAACUGUAUAUUUCUGUUUACUUGCCAACCAGUAUGGAGAUUCAGGCCAUAAUAAUCCAGAUAAGAAAGCGUAAACUGCUAAAGCACACCCCAAUAGUGAAAUGGAUUUCCAAUCAAAGAAGGUGCCCAUUAAAUUAGCAAUAAGCAUCCCCCACGCAAACGACGCGGACUUUAUAACAAGGAACGAUCCACGAUACCGAGGUGAUAUGUAUUCCGUUAACACCCUUAGACACACAACGCCAUCACUUGCUAUCAAAGCACCAAGAACCAUUUCACCGGCAAGUACACCAAUAACAGACGUACUAAAGUACAUGAUAAGAAAUCCCAAAGCUGAAGUUAUACAUAUAGUUAAAAAUGCUUUGGUCGGUCCAUAGUACGCUGAUACAGCAACGACGACGAAUAGAUUGGGAACAGAACUGUACAUCGGUGUUGAACCUAAAAAAUAUUGAAAUUGUAACUUAAAUAACUCGUUUGCGUACUUUUUUAUAAUUAAGAUAUCAUGAAGGUUAUUGGGUAUAAAAUAAGAAAUUUAACAAUACUAGUAUUUUAUACACCUCUACAUAAUUCAGUCUGUCGGUUACUUAUUUAUAACAACGUCGUCAGACCAGCGUCAGUAUUCUGUAAUUCCCAAUAGCAAUUGAGAUGUCGACGUAGUUUUAGUAUCCGAGCUCUAAUUGAUAUCGUAUGAUCGUGUAUUACAAAAGAUCAACAUCGAAUUCGGGAUGAAUCACUACCGUCAUUAAAGGUUACAGAAUACCGAAGAAGAUCAAGCCUAAAACCGGAUUUCAUAUUCCCGACCAUGUUUGAAUAUUAUGUAGGUCGUGUUCUAAGGAACUCUAUUUUAUUCAACGGUUUAUUUACAUUUCGUAACGUGUUUGCAUUCCAAUAAAUUACAAGGUAUGUAUGGUAUAUCUUUACGUACUUAGCCAUGAAGACAUCUCUUCUGUUAUGACGUCGGUGGAGUUGGCGUCUCUUCUAAUUUGGGAGAUGUAAAUAGUUGGUGUUCCCAUACAAAGACCGAACAUGAAGAAGUGAGCCCAAACUCCACUUGAUACUAAUACCUAAAAAAAUCAAUCGAUGAAGGACUAAAAAAAGUUGCGUCGCGAUAUUUGUUCGCAUAAUUUUACAAUAGUUUUUGCUACUAGUAGAAUUUUAUCCAAAGUUAUUAUUACUUAAAUAUGGAAUACGGGCGUUAUGAACCCUGUUUAUUUUUAAAAAAAGAAUAUAAAGUUUUCGUAUACUAAGCUAUAUUAAUGCCUAAUUAAAAGAAUCAUCAACUCAAAUCACAACUGUCCCAGGAUGUAGCAGGUGUUCACAUAAUGCAUUUAGAACAAAGACAAUCAUUAUUACUGCCAAAAUAAGUCAGAAUGUUUUUUCACUUAUAACAAAAUUACUUGUUUAUCAUAAAUUGUUAGAGUAAUAUUCAAAUUAAAUUCGGAUAGUCCAUAGUGUACACACUUUAAAACUUUUAAAGUAAGCAUCAAUAUCCUGCAUACUCUCUGCGUAUAUUAGGUUGGGAAAAACUCUUUUCGCAUUAUAGUAUGUAUGAACUUGUAAUAAAAUCUCUUUGG